GACGAACGCUGGCGGCGUGCCUAAUACAUGCAAGUAGAACGCUGAAGGAGGAGCUUGCUUCUCCGGAUGAGUUGCGAACGGGUGAGUAACGCGUAGGUAACCUGCCUGGUAGCGGGGGAUAACUAUUGGAAACGAUAGCUAAUACCGCAUAAGAGUAGAUGUCGCAUGACAUUUGCUUAAAAGGUGCAACUGCACCACUACCAGAUGGACCUGCGUUGUAUUAGCUAGUUGGUGAGGUAACGGCUCACCAAGGCAACGAUACAUAGCCGACCUGAGAGGGUGAUCGGCCACACUGGGACUGAGACACGGCCCAGACUCCUACGGGAGGCAGCAGUAGGGAAUCUUCGGCAAUGGACGGAAGUCUGACCGAGCAACGCCGCGUGAGUGAAGAAGGUUUUCGGAUCGUAAAGCUCUGUUGUAAGAGAAGAACGAGUGUGAGAGUGGAAAGUUCACACUGUGACGGUAUCUGACCAGAAAGGGACGGCUAACUACGUG
rnacentral:rRNA from 1 species